rnacentral:ribozyme from 13 species
CUGUACACAUACUGGGGAAAAAAAAAAAAAAAAAAAAAAAAAAAAAAAAAAAAAA